rnacentral:rRNA from 1 species
UGGGGAAUAUUGGACAAUGGGGGGAACCCUGAUCCAGCCAUGCCGCGUGUGUGAAGAAGGCCUUCUGGUUGUAUAGCAAUUUAAGCGAGGAGGAGGCUCUCUUGGUUAAUACCCAAGAAGAGCGGACGUUACUCGCAUAAUAAGCACCGGCUAACUCUGUGCCAGCAGCCGCGGUAAGACAGAGGGUGCGAGCGUUAAUCGGAUUUACUGGGCGUAAAGCGUGCGUAGGCGGCUUUUUAAGUCGGAUGUGAAAUCCCCGAGCUUAACUUGGGAAUUGCAUUCGAUACUGAGAAGCUAGAGUAUGGGAGAGGAUGGUAGAAUUCCAGGUGUAGCGGUGAAAUACGUAGAGAUCGGGAGGAAUACCGAUGGCGAAGGCAGCCAUCUGGCCUAAUACUGACGCUGAUGUACGAAAGCAUGGGGAGCAAAAAGG